rnacentral:rRNA from 1 species
AUUGAACGCUGGCGGCAUGCCUUACACAUGCAAGUCGAACGGUAACGGGUCCUUCGGGAUGCCGACGAGUGGCGAACGGGUGAGUAAUAUAUCGGAACGUGCCCAGUAGUGGGGGAUAACUGCUCGAAAGAGCAGCUAAUACCGCAUACGACCUGAGGGUGAAAGGGGGGGAUCGCAAGACCUCUCGCUAUUGGAGCGGCCGAUAUCAGAUUAGCUAGUUGGUGGGGUAAAGGCCUACCAAGGCAACGAUCUGUAGUUGGUCUGAGAGGACGACCGGCCACACUGGGACUGAUACACGGCCAAGACUCCUACGGGAGGCAGCAGUGGGGAAUUUUGGACAAUGGGCGCAAGCCUGAUCCAGCAAUGACGCGUGCAGGAAGAAGGCCUUCGGGUUGUAAACUGCUUUUGUCAGGGAAGAAAUCUUCUGGGCUAAUACCCCGGGAGGAUGACGGUACCUGAAGAAUAAGCACCGGCUAACUACGUGCCAGCCGCCGCAGUAAUAC